CUUUUCACUUUACACUUUUCUCUUUCCCUCAAUUUCUUUUGGGUUUGCUUCCAGAUCUUACACUCAACCUAACUUCCCCCAGAUCGAAACCCUGAGCACCAGGUCAUUAUCAAACUUCCGCCACGACCUCCUCUGCCUACUCUCUCUCCGCUCUGCCACUCCCCCGUCGCCGACGUUAGAAUCUGGCUCCUGGACUAGAUGCAUAGGUUUUCCGCUUCUUUCUCGUCAUCGAACGGCAUCGUUUCAAAGCUAUGGAGGCUCUUCAGUGGUGGCAGGAGUAGUCGGCCAAGCGACGUCGAUCUAGUGGUGGCCACGGAAUACGACUUGGAAGGGAACCGGAUCGGCGAAGGGAUCAGCAAAACGUUUCGUUGGCUUUCAUGAUGGGGUGAUCAAGGAGGCAAACAGAUCACGGAAGAGGCACGGGGAAAUAAAUGCAGUUGGCCGGAGUGUCGUGUGCGGGAACACCAAAUGCUGAUGGAUCAUACAAGGAAGUGGGACGAAGGAAUGAUAGGGGUGUAUACGAGAAAAAGCGCACGGUUGGAUAGGAGCUUAAUCCACUUCAGUUUUCAAGGUUAUCUAUCGUAAUUGCAUGGAAUAUUUGGUAUGGUGAUUUUUUUCUUUAAUGGCAUAUGAUCCGACGAAAGAUGCUUAACAAUCAAGGAAAUCAUAAAUCUUAAAGCUGACAAUUCUGAAUUUUAUGAAAAAAUGCCAGAGUAUUUAUAGAAAUAAAUAAUUAUUCACGUGUAAGAAUAUAAGCCCUUAAUCCUCCUCUUUUGGUCGUGAAUUUAAUUGCUUGCCGAAUUAAGGAGAAAGAAAUUAUCAACAAUAUUGUAAAAAAGGUUUUUAUUCCUUCACGUGUGCAAUUUUUGUUUGAUCUAAAACUCAUUGUAACUUAUGACUCAUUGCUGAUUGUAGUUCUUGUCAAGUGAUUUUGUUGUUAUGCUUUUUCAUUAUGAUGGUUUUGUGGAUGGAUGGAAGUUGGAGUAACCAUGUUAUACAUGUAUCUGCUAUAAAUAAAAAAAUGGUAUAAAAGGCUCAGGCAAAAUUUUUUUUGUAGUUGUAACAAUCUUUUCUGAAGAUUAAGUUUAUGGAUAAAGAUUGAGUGAAAUAAUGCUAUAUCAUGGCGUAGGUGAUUUGUGAAACGGACUUUGCAUCCAGACAUAAUAAUGCAACUAUAUAUUUCUUUAGCACGAGGACCUUCUUGUUGAUAAUUUUAAUCCAAAAAGGCAAAUGUUUUUUUCUUCGUUUUAUAAAAUUUCUCCAAGAAUAUUGUUGACAGUUUCUUUUCAACAAUAUUGUUGACAAUUUCUUUUUGCUUAAGUCCUAAAUGAUUCUGCAAGUAAUCAAACUCAUGACCAAAAGAAAACUUAGCUAUGUAUCAAUUGUCAUAAUUGGAUAGGAUAGGAGGAUUAAUGACUUAUAUGUUUAUAUGUGGAUAAUUAUCCAUUUCUACAAACACUCUUGCAUCUUUUUAUAAAUUUCAGAAUUGCUAGCUUUAAGAUUUAUGUUUUCCUUGGCUUUUAACCAUCUUUCUUCGGAUCAUUUGCCAUUGAAAAAAAAUCACCAUAUCAAAUAUCUCAUGUAAUUACAAUAGUUACUAACACUCACUUAUCCUAUCCACCUGUUUCUUGAGAACAACCCGGCUUUCGGUGUGCAUGAGAUUGAGGAAGAACUCCAUUUGAAGGAGGUAUUUAUCUAUUCUUAAAGAAGAGGGUCUUGAGAUAUCUCAGCCGGCUCUGGAUCCUACCAAAUCUGAGGUACAUCAUCCACUGACAGUCCAUAAAGCGGGAUCAAAACUGCAUAGUUGACCUUAUUUUUCUAACCUUUUGCAAUGAACAUGUUCCACUGGUAAAUUCGCACCAUAUUAAAAUUAUAUAGCGAAUAUGGCACUCUAUUAACUAUUUAGAUAUUGUAUAGUUCCCUGUCCUUUUGGGGUUUCAUUUAAAAAAUAUGUGCAUACUAAACACGGCGUCUCCAUAAGGUGUACUACGGAAAAAUGUGCCCUAACAUACCCUUGCUAUUUAUGUUACCAAUGUAUAUGAAUAGAGUAGUCCUAAUAUAGGGACCUUUUAAAGAACUACAUUGGACAUAUGACCUUCCUGUAUGCUUUUUUAGUUCAUUUCAAUUGAAUACAUAAAGAAAAAAACUUGUCACUGUAAAUUUUUUAAAGGUUAUUUGAGUAAAUUUCGUAAUUGAGUUUGUGAAUAAAUUCUCAUAUGACAAAAACUUAAAUAAUUUAAUGGAGUUGCUUACUGUAACACAGCCUUAAUUGAGUAUGCGCCUAGAAUUAUUGGAGAACAUAACUAUUGAAAAACUGUCCUAAAUGUUAACUUUGAAGAGAUUCACCUGCAAAGCCAAGUGGAGUGUCGUAGUGUGGGAACCACCAGGAUGCAGGCUCUUAGCAAAUUGAUAUUGCAUAUUAGUUAAAGAUAUAAAUAGUGCAGUCUUUACUUUACAAACAGGUCUUAUGGAAAUUGUUAGAUUCUAAGCCCAAUUUCUUAGAGUAACCACCAUGAAAUCCCUUUCUUAAUCGGUUUGCUUAAGUUGUCUUGAUAUCAUGAAAAAGAAGUAAGUAAUAGGCGCCUUAUCACGGUGCUCCACUAGAGUGGUAGCCAAACCAAUGGCUAAAUCUUCUUCUUCAAAGUAAAGGUAGUCGAGUCGAAGACUUAUAGGUUUUUGAAAGGAGGUCACUUCAAGGGUACAUGACCCAAGGGUCAAAUCCAGUUUACAAGUUCAGUUAUUCUCUAAAGAUAUUUCACUUAAAGUGGUUGGAAUAGAAGGUCAGAUAUAAGCUGUGGUAUAGCCAUUCAGGUCUGGGGAAUGCUUUCUCACGUAGGAAGUUCCAAUCAAGCAGGCCAUCUCAAUCUCUCUUGAAAGCUUAAAGUACCUGAGGGAAAGAACUUUAUUUGAAAGUUCUUGCUUUUGGAAAUACAACGCCACAACCAAACAGGGUAGCUGCUUAUGAUGGUACGAUCUGGUAUGACAUCACGAAAGGAAUUCGAUGAUUCUGAAGCCUUGGCAUAAGAAGAAGCAUGUUUGAAAAGAUAGAAGAGUUUAAGGAGAAGGUCAUUGACACUGUCUUCCACAAAACACGACACAAGGAGUUGCUCUUGAUGUCCAAACCCUCAAAAUGUUCAAGCUGCUCUUCGCGCUAAAACACGACACGAGCUGCUCUUGACGUCUAAACCCUCAAGAAUAUUGCAUCAUUCUACAUUAGUCAUUGAUACAUCAGCUAAUGGCCCAACCUCUUCCUGAGAAAGACCAAAUGAAGUGUUUCUAAAGCAGUCCAUACUAAGUCGUUGAGGCCCACGAACAAUACACUUGGACUUGUUCAAAAUCAAAUUUACAACACCAAGCAAUAAAUAAAAUGAAAUUAGCAGACUAGUAGUAAAUUAUCCAGUGGAGGAAGGGAGGCUUUCUUGGAGAAAAUACUUGCUUUUUAUUCUGUUCUUUCAUACUUUACAGAAUUAAUAAAGUUCAUAUUCAUACA